GGGAUUGUGGCUCAGUGGUAGAGUGUUCACCUUGCAUGUGUGAGACACUGGGUUUGAUCCUCAGCACCA
rnacentral:tRNA from 1 species